CGAGCACUUCUUCUUCCCACAACCGCGCCCUUGGUCCCCGCCAUGAAAUUCCCUGCAUGCUCCUCAAGUUCCCAGCGCCGGCCGUGCCUGGCCAGAUCUCCCUCCAGCUCGGCCCCGCCCUCUGCGUGUGCUCCUCCCUGCUCAGUUCUCCUGCGUGCCGCGCGCCCUUCGUUCCUGUCUCACGCGCGCUAGCCAGCCCAGAGCUUCCCUGCGCGCGCCUGGAUCUUCUCCCUCCCAGGCGUUCGGCUGUUCGAACCGCGUCCAGCCGAACGGCUCCUCCCACGCGUGCUCCUCCAUCCUCCUUGUGUCCCUGGUUCUUUCCCCUGCGCUCCCAACCGUCGAAGCUCCCUACACUCGCCCCUGACCUCCCAUGGCUGUAUGCCCCAUCUCAGCUUUGCCCUCUGUUCGGCGUGUUUGCCCCUGUAGAGCCCGCCCAGCCUCCAUUUUUUCCCAGCCUGGAUCUCCCUGCUCGCCUUGCUCCUCCGGCGCCGUGGUUUUCUGCUCGCUUGGCCGGCCAUGGUGGCUAUGCAUGCCUUCUGGCCGUGGAUGGUUCUGCCCAGGCCACCGUCGCGCCCAGAGAAAUGGUGCGCGUCCCUGCGCCUGGUUUUCGUUUCCGUCGCGCCGAUCUGUGCUCCGUCCUGGCCAUCUUCUCUGCCUCCGAUCUGUGGCGCCGUCGCAAGCUCGUUAGCCACUAUUGUCUUGUCCACGCCAGCACGCGUUCAUGGUCGCGUCGGCCAAAUUCACCAACGUUCUAUUACCAAUUCGACUAUCAUCGCUGUUGCGUGCGCUCGCGCUCUCUAUCCCCUGGUCGACCUCGUCGUCAGGCUUCGCCUUGCAGGUCGUCGUUCUUCGCUCAGCAAGGUUUCAUUCUAAGCGCCGCCCUUCAAGUUCGCGUCCUUGGCGGACUCGCACCUCCGUGUCGUGUCCGCUCGUCCAUGCUGUCGACCCGUGAGGACACAGGGUCUCGCUAGAGUCGCGCUGCCGUUGACGCAACGCAGGGUCUCGCUCUUUUUCGUGCUCGACCUUACAAGUCUCCAACUCGUCGACAUCCUUUGCAUCAUGGAAAAAUCCUGAGAGUUUGAAUAAAGCAACAAAUCCCAUGUGAUGCAACAUUUGCCAAGAGCUCGACCGGAUGUCUAAACUGAGAACCGUCGUCGCCCUCACGGUUAUCAAAUCGAUUCGAUCAUGGUAUGUUUAUUAACCACGUGAUGCGGAGAACCAAAGCCAAAUUGACCCUAAGAUGACGUAACAGGGGGACUACUCCGCAAGAUGAUGUUGAUGGUCGAACCUGAAGAUGGACAGACGAAAUGAGUAUCAGUACAAAAGAUGGUCGUCAAGCGGGCGUCGUCUAACAAACACUAACCUAGUGUUUCUUCCAGAUUGCAAUCUCGCUUACGGAGAGUACAUGCUCAUCCCCGAGCAAGGAGCUGUCCACGAGGAAGACCAGGAGCAAGCUCCCGAGACUGCCAUCGAGGAUCUCCCCGCAGCCCCAGCAUUUGAAGGUGCCUUCGGACUCGGAUCAGAACCACAUAGUGUGAAAAAGCACGAAUAAUACGAAGGUUGACGCAGCGCCGAAGCUACGUGCUAGGGAGCUUCAGCAUAACGGCAGAAAAAGGAACCGACUUAAAAG
rnacentral:misc_RNA from 1 species